UCCCUGGCAGUCCAGUGGUGAGGACGCUGCACUUUCACUGCUGAGGGCCUGGGUUCAACCCCUAGUUGGGGGA
rnacentral:tRNA from 1 species